ensembl:miRNA
UGGGGGAAUGAAGAGUAGAUAAAAUAUUGGUAUCUGAUGAGUCUGAGGCCAGGUUUCAAUACUUUAUCUGCUCUUCAUUUUCCCAUAUCUACUUAC